GAUGAACGCUGGCGGCGUGCCUAAUACAUGCAAGUCGAACGAACAGACGAGGAUCUUGCGCCUCUCACGUUAGCCGCAGAGGUGUGUGUAACGCGUGUAUAACCUACCUAUAAUUCUGGUAUAUUUUCGGGAAACCGGAGCUAAUACCGUAUGAGCUCUUGAUGCGCGUGGUGCGAUAGUGAGAGACGGUUGUGCUGUCACGUAUAGAUGCAUCCGCGCUGCAUGAGCUAGUUGGUCAGGUAACGGCUUACCAAGGCUAGGAUGCGUAGCCGACCUGAGAGGGUGAUAGGCCACACUGGAGCUGGGACGCGGACCAGACUCCUACGGGAGGCAGCAGUAGGGAAUCUUCCGCAAUGGGCGAAAGCUUGACGGAGCAACGCCGAGUGAGUGAUGACGGUCUUCGGAUCGUAAAACUCUGUUAUUAGGGAAGAACAAAUGUGUACGUAACUAUGCACGUCUUGACGGUAACUAAUCAGAAAGCCACGGCUAACUACGUG
rnacentral:rRNA from 1 species